rnacentral:lncRNA from 1 species
GCGUUUGUAGAUGGAAGGAAGAACUUGUGUGCUUAGACCUGACGCUGGGAGGAGAUGCUGCCACCUAGGUUACUUGUAGGACCCUAUACGGCAACCUCCUUUGCCAGGAACUAUUUAUAAACAUCCUGCAGGAAAAUGGCCUCUUUAAAUAUACACUUCUCUGUAGUGUAUGCUAGAAAUGGAGUGGCUGGAAUAAAAGUGGCUGAAUCAUCUUCAACUCUAGUAGCUGAGACCAAUGAUGCUGACCUCCCUCAAAAGCUGCAUUUCUGAAUUUCUGAAGGCAAACUGUCUGCCUAUAUUGUACAGCAAAAUAAUUUCCUGUAUUAAAACGUUUUUAUUGCUCUAAAUUUCUAGAUUAAACUCUGCUUAGGUAUUGCUAAGAGGGUAGCCAAGUAUAGAAACUUAAAUUUACUGACAGAAAUCUAGAGAAUGCUUAAUUUUUUUUCCAGCAGUGAAGUAGAAGAGACAGGGAUAUCCCAGAAGGUUAUGCAAAACAUCAAGAGAAGAUGAGAGGGUAAGGUUUAUAGACUGAGUUAUUAGAAAAAUGCACAAUGGGGUUUGGGUUGCAUAAAAACAGGGUCUAUGGGUGUGUAUUUAUAAGUUCACACAUGCACACACAAACACACACAUAUAUGUACACACACAGGCAGCCCUCAACAUUCUCAUGAUUGGCUUUUGUACAUUAUUUUUUAAUUAUUAAUACCUCAAAAUGUGUUUAUAUAGAGAAAUUGAACUUUAGUGCAUCACAAAAGAGAAGAGACUUCAAUUUCUAGUUCAAGAAAUGAAUGAGAAAGAUCCUUAGAAUUUAUAGCACCUGGAGAUCUACGAGAAAAACUAGUUUAUUUUCUCCAUUCAUUCUUGAGAUUUGAAAUCAGUCUGUUGCGUUCAAGUUCUUAAAUUAGUUGCAUGUUGAAUUAAUUAGAAAAUAUCACUAUGACUACAGUGACUUCGUAUAAAAAGAGAGGUGGAAUUUUUAUGAGUGUGGCCUUUAAGAUUAUCAGGGAACACUAGGAAUAAAACCUAAGGUGAUGAUUCACUCUGCAAUGUAGGUUAGCUAGAGGAUAAUGACCCAUGUGUUCUGAUCCAGCAGCAUCUCUUUUUCAGAUUAGUGGAUAAGUACAUCCAGUGGAGUCAGAUUCCCUUGGGCAAAUGAUAGUUCUGCCAAUGAUUAGCGUUGCCAUCUUGGGGAAGUCAUUUUACCUUUCUGUGUCCCCUUUACUCAUGUUUAAAAUGGAAAUAACGACGUAACUGCUUGAUGGGGGUGUUGUUAUGUUUAAAUGCAAUAAUACCACUUCAAAGUGCUUAGAGGGGUAACAGAUGCAUCAUGACUGUCCAACAAAUUUUAACUGUUAUUAUGUUUAUUACGUUUACCUAGUACUCUGUGAUGUCGUAAGGAUAAGAAAGAUCAAGGGAUCAGGAAAAUGAAGAUUUUAGCUUCAUUCAUCUUAACGAGGUUAACAGACAUGAUUUUCCCACUCUCCUUCAACACUCACAUAUCAAUUUCAUAUUUGUGGAAAGUUUUCACUUACAACACUCAGUAUAUACCACUUAGAAUUAUGAAAGUAUAUCCUGUAGGGCAGAUCCACAUGCAGAAGAAUGAAACUAGACCCCUAUCUCUCACCAUACACAAACAUCAAAUCAGAUGGAUUAAACACUUCAAUCUAAGACCUCUCACUAUGAAAUGACUAUGAGUAAACAUUGUAGAAUAUUCAUCUGGGAAAAAAUUUCUUGCCCCACAAGCACAGGCAACCAAAGUCAAAAUGGACAAAUGGGAUCACAUCAAGUUAAAAAGUUUCUGCACAGCAAAGGAAACUAUCAGUAAAACAUAGAGGCAACUCACAGAACUGGAAAAAAUAUUUGCAAACUCCUCAACCAACAAGGGGUUAGUAACCAGUGUAUAUAUAAGGAGCUCAAACAACUCUACAGGAAAAAAAAUCUAGCAAUCGAUUAAAAAUGGACAAAGGAUUUGAAUAGACAUUUCUCAAAAGAAGAUAUACGAAUGUCAGAAAAGCAUAUAAAAAUUUGCUCAACAUCACUGAUUGUCAGUGAAAUGUAAAUCAAAACUACAAUGAGAUAUCAUCUGACCCCAGUUAAAAUGGCAUUUAUCCAAAAGACAGGCAAUAAUAACAAAUGUUGACAAGGACGUGGAGAAAAGGGAACGCUUGUACACUGUUGGUAGGAAUGUAAGUUAGUACAACCCCUAUGGAGAACAGUUUGGAGUUUCCUCAAAAAACCAAAAAUAGGGCUACUAUCCAAUUCAGCCAUCCUACUGCUGAGUAUACACCCAAAAGAAAGGAAAUCAGCAUAUCGAAGAGAUAUCUGCACUCCCAUGUUUGUUGCAGUAUUGUUCACAAUAGCCAAGAUUUGGAGCAACCUAAGUGUCCACCAACAGAUACAUGGAUAAAGAAAAUGUGGUACAUAUGUACAGUCAUAAAAAAAGAACUAGAUUUGAUUAUUUGCAAUAACAUGGAUGAAACUGGAGGUCAUUAUUUAAGUGAAAUAAACCAGGCACAGAAAGACAAACAUUGUGUGUUCUCACUCAUUCAUAGGAUUUAAAAAUCAAAACAAUUGAACUCACAGAGACAGAGAAUGGAAGGAUGGUUACCAGAGGCUAGGAAGCAUAGUGGGGGAAUGGGAGGAGGUGAGGAUGUUUAAUGAGUACAAAAAAAUAGAAACAAUGAAUAAGACCUAGUAUUUGAUAGCACAACAGGAGGACUAUGGUCAGUAAUAAUUAAAUUGUACAUUUUAAAACAACUAAAAGAAUAUAAUUGGAUUGUCUGUACACAAAAGAUAAAUGCUUCAGGGGAUGGCUAUCCACCAAUUUUCCACAAUGUGAUUAUUAUGCAUUGCAUGCUUUUACCAAAAUAUCUCAUGUACCCCAUAAACAUAUACAUCUAGUAUGUACCUAAAAAAAUUAAAAAUAUAAAAG